AUGGCGGAGGUGGUGGUCACCAUGGCUAUCCGGCCAUUGGUGUCCAUGGUGAUGAACAAGUCAUCCAGCUACUUGCUGGACCAGUACAAGGUGAUGGAGGGAAUGGAGAAGCAGCACAAGAUUCUCGAACGCAAACUUCCAGCCAUCCUUGACGUCAUCACUGAUGCCGAGGAGCAGGCGACAACCCACAGGGAAGGGGUGAAAGCCUGGCUCCAGGAGCUCAAGACAGUCGCCUAUCAGGCAAAUGAAGUCUUUGAUGAGUUCAAGUAUGAAGCACUCCGCCGUGAAGCCAAAAAGAAUGGGCACUAUGCCAAGCUUGGUUUUGAUGCAGUAAAACUGCUCCCUACUCACAGCCAUAUUGUAUUCCGCCGCAGAAUGGGUCGCAAGCUUUGCCAGAUUCUAGAGACCAUUGAGGGCCUCAUAGCUGAUAUGCAGGCCUUUGGGUUCAAGAACCAACCACAACUGGUUUCAAAGGAGUGGAGGAAGACAGAUUAUGUUAUCAUUGACCCACGAGAAAUUGCCGGUAGAUCCAGACAUGAAGACAAGAAGACUAUUGUUGAUAUACUACUGGGUGAAGCUAGCAACUCAGAUCUUGCAGUUGUUCCCAUCGUUGGAAUGGGGGGGCUUGGCAAGACCACGUUAGCACAGCUCAUAUACAAUGAACUAGGAAUUCAGAAGCAUUUCCAGUUGUUGUUGUGGGUUUGUGUCUCUGAUACCUUUGAUGUGAACUCCCUAGCCAAUAAUAUAGUUGAAGCAUCUCCCAAGAGAAAUGAUGAUAUGGAGAAACCACCACUGGAGAGACUUCAGAAAUUGGUCAAGGGGCAGCGAUAUCUCCUUGUAUUAGAUGAUGUCUGGAACAGAGAGGUCCAUAAGUGGGAAAGGCUGAAGUCUUGUCUUCAGCAUGGUGGCAAUGGUAGUGCAGUGUUGACAACAACUCGUGAUAAACAAGUUGCUGAAAUUAUGGGUGCAAGUAGAACCUACAAUCUCAAUGUUUUGAAUGACAACUUCAUAAAGGAAAUUAUUAUGGCUAGAGCAUUCAGUUUAGAGAAAGAAAAUCCUGCAGAGCUAGUCAGGAUGGUUGAUGAGAUUGUGAAGAGAUGUUCUGGAUCUCCAUUAGCUGCAACGGCAUUGGGCUCUGUACUACGCACCAAGACCAGCGUGGAAGAAUGGGAGGCUAUAUCAUCCAGAAGCAGCAUUUGCACCGAGGAAACUGGAAUAUUGCCAAUACUCAAGCUUAGCUACAACGACUUACCAUCACACAUGAAGCAGUGCUUUGCUUUCUGUGCUGUAUAUCCCAAGGAUUACAAGAUUGAUGUGGAGAAGUUGAUCCAACUUUGGAUCGCAAAUGGCUUUAUCCCAGAGCACAAUGAAGAUAGUCUUGAAACCAUUGGAAAACAUAUUUUUGAUGAGCUGGCCUCAAGGUCAUUCUUUCUGGACAUAGAGGAAUUUAAGGGCGACAGAGAGUAUUGCUUCAGAACUACAUGUAAAAUCCAUGAUCUUAUGCAUGAUAUUACAAUAUCUGUUAUGGGAAAGGAAUGUCUUGUUGCAACUAAGGAACCAAGUCAAAACAAGUGGCUUCCAGAUACUGCUCGUCAUUUGUUCUUGUCCUGUGAAGAAACAAAAGGCAUUUUGAAUGAUUCUAUGGACAAAAGAUCCCCUGCUAUCCAAACUCUGCUAUGUGAUAGUUCCGUGCGAAGCGCAUUGCAGCAUCUAUCAAAAUGUACCUCUUUGUGUGCCUUGAAGCACUGUAUAAAGACAACAUUAUUUCUACUGAAACCAAAGUACCUUCAUCAACUGAGGUACCUUGAUCUCUCGAAAAGUUCUAUCAAAUCACUUUCUGAAGAUAUAAGUAUUCUAUAUAACCUACAAACGUUGGACCUUUCCAAUUGCUCUGAUCUUGAGCAGCUUCCAAGUCAAAUGAAGUAUAUGACUUCCCUCCGUCACCUCUACACUCAUGGAUGCUGGAGUUUGAAGAGCAUACCGCCAGAAAUAGGAAAACUCACUAACCUGCAGACACUCACAUGUUUUGCAGCAGGAGUUAAUGGACAUGAUUGUAGUGAUGUUGCAGAGCUGCAAGGUUUAAACCUUUGUGGUCAGUGUCACGCCCAAGAUGCGACCCUAUCCUAA
rnacentral:rRNA from 1 species